CAGUCAGGAGCUUGUCUACGUCGAGUGUGGUACGAGGUGGAGCAUGAAACGCUAAUGAGGGAACGAUGGAGUUUGAUAUAACCUCUAGUCUUACGAUGAGCCAUUCCAAAGAGGCAGAGGGACGCUCUGGCAUCCAGAAAAAAGUGCCACGAGUGGUCUUUUGGACGGAUCUUCCUGCACAGACAGACCCUUUUCAAUGCAGACAGUAAAGAGGUGUGACGCCAAGGAGGAUGAAGUCGGGAGACAGACACACGUCCGAGGAGUGAGUUCCUGACAAUCCGAUGAGAAAGUGGAUAUAAGUCAAGUAUAUUUUAAAAUGUGCAUGCAGUUGAGCAAGCCGGUCAUUUUCCUGAGAUAGCUGGGAAAUGUCACUAUUCACUGAUUAAAGAAUCUGUCUCUCGGAGCAGCUGAAAGGUAUAUGACCCUGCACCUUCUCAUUCCAAUAAACUCCACGAACACAAAGAGCAAGCAGUCAACUCUACUCCAGAGUCUGACUCAGAUGAAUUCUUUGGCUGCAAAAUGUCACAGCUAACAGCAGGCAUCAUUGACGAGGACCCAGUCCCGAGAAUGACCUCAUGCUUGGUGCAGAAGAGGCUCAGACAAAGAGAAGAAAACCUCUGUCCUUGGAUAAAGCUUCCCUUUUCAUAUGAAGUGAUUGAUUAUUAUAGGAUGUGUGUGCUCCUGAUAAUAUUGUUCCCUUUAUAGCCUUGUCGUCUGUUGUUUGGCUGAUAACAGAACCACAAGAGAGAGUUCAUUUUAAGAUACGAGUGGUGACUAAGGGCCAAUUCACAAUAAAAAGUAAAAAAUAAAAGAGAAAGAUACAUUUAAAACGUAAGAUGAGGAACAUCCUUCAUUUUGUGGAUUGACAGACUGUCUAUCACAGUGGGUUGAACCGUAGGACAAAAGGACUGGGCAGUGUUUUGCUCAGCUGUAGGUACGGUCCCUUUGAGUCAGGAUCAACUGAGUUAUUGCUUGUAAUGCCAGGAGGCCCAA